UACGUAGGGGGCAAGCGUUGUCCGGAUUUAUUGGGCGUAAAGAGCGUGUAGGCGGCCUGAAAGGUCAGCUGUGAAAACUCGAGGCUCAACCUCGAGACGUCGGUUGAAACCAUCUGGUUAGAGUCCGGAAGAGGAGUGUGGAAUUCCCGGUGUAGCGGUGAAAUGCGCAGAUAUCGGGAAGAACACCCGUGGCGAAGGCGGCACUCUGGGACGGUACUGACGCUGAGACGCGAAAGCGUGGGGAGCGAACAGG
rnacentral:rRNA from 1 species